AAUGAACGCUGGCGGCGCGCCUAAUACAUGCAAGUCGAGCGAGAAGACGUAGCAAUACGUUUGUAAAGCGGCGAACGGGUGAGGAAUACAUGGGUAACCUACCCUCGAGUGGGGAAUAACUAGCCGAAAGGUUAGCUAAUACCGCGUACGCUCCUUGGACUUCGGUUCAGGGAGGAAAGCGAUACCGUGGGUAUCGCGCUCUUGGAUGGGCUCAUGUCCUAUCAGCUUGNGGUGAGGUAACGGCUCACCAAGGCUUCGACGGGUAGCUGGUCUGAGAGGACGAUCAGCCACACUGGCACUGCGACACGGGCCAGACUCCUACGGGAGCAGCAGUAAGGAAUAUUGCGCAAUGGGCGAAAGCCUGACGCAGCGACGCCGCGGUGGGGGAGUGAA
rnacentral:rRNA from 1 species